GGUUCAUUCAAAUUUCUGCCCUAUCAACUUUCGAUGGUAAGGUCAUGGCUUACCAUGGUUUCAACGGGUAACGGGGAAUUAGGGUUCGAUUCCGGAGAGGGAGCCUGAGAAACGGUACCACAUCCAAGGAAGGCAGCAGGCGCGCAAAUUACCCAAUCCCGACCGGGGAGGUAGUGACAAUAAAUACUGAUACAGGGCUUUUUUGGGUCUUGUAAUUGGAAUGAGUACAAUUUAAACCUCUUAACGAGGAACAAUUGGAGGGCAAGUCUGGUGCCAAGCAGCCGGGUAAUUCCAGAUCCAAUAGCGUAUAUUAAAGUGGUGCAGUUAACAAGCUCGUAGUUG
rnacentral:rRNA from 1 species